rnacentral:rRNA from 1 species
UACGUAGGGGGCAAGCGUUGUCCGGAUUUAUUGGGCGUAAAGAGCGUGUAGGCGGUUAGGUAGGUCCGUUGUGAAAACUCGAGGCUCAACCUCGAGACGCCGAUGGAAACCAUCUAACUAGAGUCCGGAAGAGGAGAGUGGAAUUCCUGGUGUAGCGGUGAAAUGCGCAGAUAUCAGGAGGAACACCGGUGGCGAAGGCGGGUCUCUGGGCAAUAACUGACGCUGAGGAGCGAAAGCGUGGGGAGCGAACAGG